UAGGGAAUCUUCCACAAUGGACGCAAGUCUGAUGGAGCAACGCCGCGUGAGUGAAGAAGGUUUUCGGAUCGUAAAGCUCUGUUGUUGGUGAAGAAGGAUAGAGGUAGUAACUGGCCUUUAUUUGACGGUAAUCAACCAGAAAGUCACGGCUGACUACGUGCCAGCAGCCGCGGUAAUACGUAGGUGGCAAGCGUUGUCCGGAUUUAUUGGGCGUAAAGCGAGCGCAGGCGGAAGAAUAAGUCUGAUGUGAAAGCCCUCGGCUUAACCGAGGAACUGCAUCGGAAACUGUUUUUCUUGAGUGCAGAAGAGGAGAGUGGAAUUCCAUGUGUAGCGGUGGAAUGCGUAGAUAUAUGGAAGAACACCAGUGGCGAAGGCGACUCUCUGGUCUGCAACUGACGCUGAGGCUCGAAAGCAUGGGUAGCGAACAGG
rnacentral:rRNA from 1 species